GUGAAUUCUGACAGUGAGAGGAACGGCCGGAUACAGGAGACGGGAAGAAACAAGCCGAUUAUAUUCGCUUUAAUUAAGUGGUUGGAAGAUGUAAAAUUCUCAAUUCUGCCAACUGAACAUAUACGAGAUUUUAAUGAGGAUGAAUAAUUAGCCGGCAUGGAGGAAACGGACCUUUAUUUGGUGGAGUGGCAACAAGAAGCCACAAGGCGGGUGGCCGGUCUAUGAAGCCUCCAUCAUCAAGCUAGCAGAAAUCCCACCUGUCCUUCUGGCUACAGAGUACUUACCAAGCCCAUGAAAUCGAAUGCAGAUCUUCCUGAUGUGAGAUUUACAUAAAUAUGUCAAAGUCUCAACCUCAUGCUGCCCUCCCCCAUAAACCUGUGGAUACAAAUGCAGAUUUCCUUAAUGUUCAAUGGUGCGUGUUCUUCUAAUGGCUGCCUUCCCACUGGAGGUUUUGAUCCACAGCAAUUUAAAAGGUAAACAGCUUUGAAAGUCAGUUCAAAUGGUUAGCUAAUAGUAUUCUAAAAAGCCUACAACUCUGUCACCAGUUUCUUUACCAAAAAGUACCCAUAAAAGUAUAUCGCAUAUCAUUGUAGUUCAAAUGUUUAGUUGUACAAAUAUCAGAUUUUUGGAAAUCUAAAACUAGU